GUGCCUCACGGAUCGUCAGCCUCUGAAUUAGUUGUGUGAACUGUGUGUGACAUUCCUCAUAAACCAAUGCUGGGUGAUGAUACCGUUGGUGUCAGGGUGAAUGUCCUGAUAGAUUUCCAGUUAUUAUCAAGGUGAAUUUCCUGAUUUAAUUGGGACUCAGGAUCUCUGACUUGCCCCAGCUCCAAAUAGUAUCAUGGGUUGCUGCUGCUCAUUUCAUUCCGUAUUGAGAGAGAAGCUUUGCUGUCCAAUUAUGCCAGAGGAAACAG